AAAAUUAGUCAAUGCUCGCAAGAGUGAACUAGCUAACUGAAAUCAAUGGUGUGUCACCGUUGAUAACGUAAGGGAAAAUAAUGAUGCUACCUUACUAUGAGUGUCGUCAAAAUACUCGUGCCAGAAGACUCGGUAAGGCGAGAGACGCAAACGUUAGUCGUCCUAAACAGGCGUAAAGGGUUUGUAGGCAGCUUUAAGCAUCUAAUUUAAUUAUUACUAGUUCUUAGUACUGUACCUCCCCGCGCUGAAGCGUACCUCAUUUUUUGAGUGGGAUGUAUUGUAUAAAAGAAAUUAUUAGAAAGGAUCAUUUAAAGCUAGAAUCAAAAAGAGGUUAUAUUGAAAAAUGCUUAGAGUAAGGUCGAUAUCUAUAGAUACUAAGUAGAAUACUCACGGCGAAGGCUUUUCUCCAAUGAUGAUUGACGCUGAGAAACUAAGGUGAGGACAGAAAAAAGGAUUUGAGACCCUCGUAUCCCUCACUGUCAACGAUGAAUGGUAGUUGCUAAAGACAAACUUUAGAGGCGAUGUUAACACGUAAACCAUUCCGCCUUGUGAGUACGGCUGCAAAGUUGAAAACAAAAAAAUUAGUCGGUUUCGGAGCAAACGAAGUGAAGCAUGUUAUUUAAUGA
rnacentral:rRNA from 1 species